rnacentral:rRNA from 1 species
CCUACGGGAGGCUGCAGUGGGGAAUAUUGCACAAUGGGCGCAAGCCUGAUGCAGCCAUGCCGCGUGUGUGAAGAAGGCCUUCGGGUUGUAAAGCACUUUCAGCGGGGAGGAAGGCGGUGAGGUUAAUAACCUCAUCGAUUGACGUUACCCGCAGAAGAAGCACCGGCUAACUCCGUGCCAGCAGCCGCGGUAAUACGGAGGGUGCAAGCGUGAAUCGGAAUUACUGGGCGUAAAGCGCACGCAGGCGGUCUGUCAAGUCGGAUGUGAAAUCCCCGGGCUCAACCUGGGAACUGCAUUCGAAACUGGCAGGCUAGAGUCUUGUAGAGGGGGGUAGGAUUCCAGGUGUAGCGGUGAAAUGCGUAGAGAUCUGGAGGAAUACCGGUGGCGAAGGCGGCCCCCUGGACAAAGACUGACGCUCAGGUGCGAAAGCGUGGGGAGCAAACAGGAUUAGAUACCCUUGUAGUC